rnacentral:rRNA from 1 species
CCUACGGGAGGCUGCAGUGAGGAAUAUUGGUCAAUGGACGAGAGUCUGAACCAGCCAAGUAGCGUGAAGGAUGACUGCCCUAUGGGUUGUAAACUUCUUUUAUAUGGGAAUAAAAUGUUCCACGUGUGGGAUGUUGUAUGUACCAUAUGAAUAAGGAUCGGCUAACUCCGUGCCAGCAGCCGCGGUAAUACGGAGGAUCCGAGCGUUAUCCGGAUUUAUUGGGUUUAAAGGGAGCGUAGGUGGAUUGUUAAGUCAGUUGUGAAAGUUUGCGGCUCAACCGUAAAAUUGCAGUUGAAACUGGCAGUCUUGAGUACAGUAGAGGUGGGCGGAAUUCGUGGUGUAGCGGUGAAAUGCUUAGAUAUCACGAAGAACUCCGAUUGCGAAGGCAGCUCACUGGACUGCAACUGACACUGAGGCUCGAAAGUGUGGGUAUCAAACAGGAUUAGAUACCCUAGUAGUC